rnacentral:rRNA from 1 species
CCUACGGGAGGCAGCAGUAGGGAAUUUUCGUCAAUGGGCGCAAGCCUGAACGAGCAAUGCCGCGUGAACGAGGAAGGUCUUCGGAUCGUAAAGUUCUGUUGAAGGGGAAAAAGAGCGGAGAGAGGAAAUGGUCUCCGAUUGAUAUUACGCUUCGAGGAAGUCACGGCUAACUACGUGCCAGCAGCCGCGGUAAUACGUAGGUGGCGAGCGUUAUCCGGAAUGAUUGGGCGUAAAGGGUGCGUAGGCGGCCUGAUAAGUCUGGAGGGAAAGGUACCGGCAAAACCGUUACAGGCUCUGGAAACGGGCGGGCUAGAGAGCAGGAGAGGGCGGGGGAACUCCAGGUGUAGCGGUAAAAGGCGUAGAUAUAUGGAAGAACACCAGUGGCGAAGGCGGCCGCCUGGCCUGUUACUGAGGCUGAGGCACGAAAGCGUGGGGAGCAAAUAGGAUUAGAUACCCGAGUAGU